rnacentral:rRNA from 1 species
GGGGUGCUCGAGUGGCGAACGGGUGAGUAACGCGUGAGUAACCUGCCCUUGACUUUGGGAUAACUUCAGGAAACUGGGGCUAAUACCGGAUAGGAGCUCCUGCUGCAUGGUGGGGGUUGGAAAGUUUCGGCGGUUGGGGAUGGACUCGCGGCUUAUCAGCUUGUUGGUGGGGUAGUGGCUUACCAAGGCUUUGACGGGUAGCCGGCCUGAGAGGGUGGACGGCCACAUUGGGACUGAGAUACGGCCCAG